rnacentral:rRNA from 1 species
AUUGAACGCUGGCGGCAGGCCUAACACAUGCAAGUCGAACGGCAGCACGGUUACUGCCACCUGUUACCGAGGGGGAGGGGUGUGCGUAGUACAUCUAAAUCUGUGCUUACGUGGGCGAGAGCCCGGCCAAAGGCGGACUUACACCACAUCCGCUGAAGGCCUAAGAGCGGGAGCCCGGGAUCUCUCGCCCUAUCGCGUUUGACGGUGGCGAUGUCUGAUUAGCUAGGUGGUGGGGUAAAGGCCUACCAAGGCGACGAUCCGUAGCUGGUCUGAGAGGAUGAUCAGCCACACUGGAACUGAGACACGGUCCAGACUCCUACGGGAGGCAGCAGUGGGGAAUAUUGGACAAUGGGCGAAAGCCUGAUCCAGCCAUGCCGCGUGUGUGAAGAAGGCCUUCGGGUUGUAAAGCACUUUUGUUUGGAAAGAAAUGCAGGAAGUUAAUACCGUGCGGGGAUGACGGUACCGAAAGAAUAAGCACCGGCUAACUUCGUG